rnacentral:lncRNA from 1 species
UGUCCAGCAGGGAUCCAGUGUCCAGCGGUCACUUUGUGCCACUUUGGGGUCACUCUGUGCCACUUUGGGGUCACUUUGUGCCACUCUGCGGUCACUCCCCACCACUUCGGUGGUCACUCCGCGGUCGCUCCGACCUCCUUCCCACCACCCCAGCGGUCACUCUCUCAGUGUCCAGCAGGGAU